GAUUUAGCGGCUGAAAGGGGAAUUGUUUCUGAGUGUCGGGACCCCGCAGUUGCUUGCUAGCUGGACCAGGAUGAGAGAACCCUGAGUACCCUAAAGAAGGCGUUACCCUAAGAGUGCGGGGCCGAAAGUAGGAUCAUCGUGCGGGUCGGGGGCGGAAAAUAGGAUUGCUGAGAACGCAUUUCGCCCCAUGACUGAUCCCUUAUAGCACAGUGAGACAGAUAUGAAUGAAUGAGUGAAGAAGUGCCAGGUGGUGCUACGUUAGGAAGGAAAACUUCAAAGAAAGAAAAGGCUGGCCAUGCCCUCCGGGGUCCAGUAGACAAGUAAUUACAAUCCAGCGACUCCUCCAAAGUGCUAUUUGAGCACAGAAAGGCAUAAACUGCUUUAGAAUUUAGGGAAGGCACCUUGAAGGGUGGAGUCCUGAAUGAUGAGUGAGAGUCUAGUGGAUCUGGUAGAGAAGAGCAUACCAGGUACAGGAAAUAGUCUGUGAAGUGGCACUGUGCUAUGAGAAAGGAAAAAAAAAAAAAAGGGCGUUAAAGAAACUGGGACUAUGAAUGCAAGAAACCCAGUAAGGACAAUUGUUGGGAACAAUGCUACGUAAUUCUAGGGAAAAAUCAUUUGAGUAGGUCUAGUUCUGCUGUCUACAGACCAGCCACGACAUUCCAGACAUAAUUGCAUUUUGGCCUCGGGUCACAACUGAGACCUCAGUGAUCCCCUGAUGCUGUAAUGCUCCAGGACAAGCCCACACCUGCGGGAGACGCCAGGGAGGAACCAAAUCUUCAUCUGCGUAGUUCUUCAUUGUUCUUAGAUUUCCACUGCCCCCAAGUCUUUUGUUACACCUUGUUUAUCCCAAUGUGAAGUACUGAACUCUGCUUUUGCACUUGUUACAUCUGUUUCCCCACGUACUGAAUAAAAAGUGCUGCAACCUAGGGGGUCUUUGUCUUUGCCGCCCAGAGCAGCACUGAUCAGACCCAAAGCUCAGCUUCUCAGUCUAAUUUGUCUAUCUUUCCUGUAAUUCGCCGUGUACUGCCAUGGCUCACAGGAGACUAGGACUUACUGCAGAGGUUCUGGUAACGUUCCCUUCCCCUGUUCCCUACAGACAAAGAGCAACAUUUUGUGGGGGCAUGGUCCUAAUUGAUUCCAUGGAUCAUCGAAUUGAUUAUAAGGUAGAAGGGG
rnacentral:lncRNA from 1 species